AGAGUUUGAUCCUGGCUCAGAUUGAACGCUGGCGGCAUGCCUUACACAUGCAAGUCGAACGGUAACGGGCCUUCGGGUGCCGACGAGUGGCGAACGGGUGAGUAAUAUAUCGGAACGUGCCCAAUCGUGGGGGAUAGCCCGGCGAAAGCCGGAUUAAUACCGCAUACGACCUGAGGGUGAAAGCGGGGGAUCUUCGGACCUCGCGCGAUUGGAUCGGCCGAUAUCAGAUUAGGUAGUUGGUGGGGUAAAGGCUUACCAAGCCUACGAUCUGUAGCUGGUCUGAGAGGACGACCAGCCACACUGGGACUGAGACACGGCCCAGACUCCUACGGGAGGCAGCAGUGGGGAAUUUUGGACAAUGGGCGCAAGCCUGAUCCAGCCAUGCCGCGUGCAGGAAGAAGGCCUUCGGGCUGUAAACUGCUUUUGUCAGAGAAGAAAUCUUCUGGGUUAAUACCCUGGGAGGAUGACGGUAUCUGAAGAAUAAGCACCGGCUAACUACGUGCCAGCAGCCGCGGUAAUACGUAGGGUGCGAGCGUUAAUCGGAAUUACUGGGCGUAAAGCGUGCGCAGGCGGCUUUGCAAGACAGAUGUGAAAUCCCCGGGCUUAACCUGGGAACUGCAUUUGUGACUGCAAGGCUAGAGUACGGCAGAGGGGGAUGGAAUUCCGCGUGUAGCAGUGAAAUGCGUAGAUAUGCGGAGGAACACCGAUGGCGAAGGCAGUCCCCUGGGCCUGUACUGACGCUCAUGCACGAAAGCGUGGGGAGCAAACAGGAUUAGAUACCCCGGUAGU
rnacentral:rRNA from 1 species